rnacentral:misc_RNA from 1 species
CCCCCCAGCCGCAGCGGUGGC